rnacentral:piRNA from 1 species
UGGACUUAAAGAACACACCAGUCUGGAGGCC